rnacentral:lncRNA from 1 species
UGAUAACUAACACAAUAUACAUUUAUGCUGCAUUUAAAAUAGUCAAAUUUUUAUCAGUAUUGUUUCAAUGCCAAUCAUAUGACAUUGGGACAGAUACAUCAUACAUGAUUAAGUGCAUUAAGAUAUAAUAUAUGUCACUUCCUAGCAGAAACCCCCGUGAAAAGUGAUUAAACUAUUCCAAAUCCAAUCUGAAUCAUAAUUAAUGAGAUUAAUAGUAAACUUAACUUCAUCCAAUAAUAUUCAAAAACUUUUUCAUUAACCAAUAAAUUUACUGUGUUUAGGCUAUUAACUUUUUCACUCAAAAGAUGCAUUCAGUCCACACAGCACAAUAAGUAAAUAGAAGGGGAGAACAAGCCUAGAUUUUCUUAAUCUUUACAAUUUCAACAUCAAAUGUCUAAAAUUUACAAUAAGAUGGUCAAAAUAACAUUAGUAACAUUUAUGCAUACUCUGAGAACCUUUAUUUCGACAUUUAGCAAGGAGAAAAUCAAAAUAACAUUAGUAACAUUUAUGUGUAACAAUGUUUUCAAUUAUAAUUUCUAAAAUUUCCAUCAAUCAAGCUGGAUAAAAAACAUCCUUCCUAUGAAAUACCGACACAGACACGGACACCAAACUCGACAUUGAUUUGUCAACACCAAUAGUAAUUUGAGAAAAUCACCUGUGUUGGUAUUGGAUGCCUUCGAUCAGAAGUGUGUGUCUACAAAGCAUUUUGGACAGAAUCUUAUAUCAUGUCUCGUCAUUUGAAAAACUCUUCCAGGUAGAAACAAUUAAUUGAUUUAUAAAGAUAAUAAUGAUAAUGAUGUACCUGGACCAAGGAAUAUAUCUAUCCAUGGUGUUCCUUUUCUUUUGUUUCAGUAAGCACCAAGUUCCGCAUGCCUGACACUAAAGCUAGAUGUUGCUGCUGCAAAAUUUCUGUCUCUGAAACUCCCACUUCCACAAAUCUAUGCUUUUUCAGCGUAGGAUGAAAUUGUGAUAAUGAAGCAUUGAGAUAUUCAUCUAAUUUUCUCUAUCUA